AAUGAACGUUGGCGGCGUGGAUUAGGCAUGCAAGUCGUGCGCGAAUCGUAGCAAUACGAGGAGAGCGGCGAAAGGGAGAGGAUAGCAUAGAUACCUACCCCCGGACCUGGGAUAGCUAUGGGAAACUAUAGGUAAUACCAGAUAAUGUCUCCGGACCAAAGGUGUGACUCCGUCCGAGGAGGGGUCUAUGUCCUAUUAGCUUGUUGGUGAGGUAAUGGCUCACCAAGGCCAAGAUGGGUACGAGGCGUGAGAGCGUGUCCUCGCUCACUGGGACGGAGACACUGCCCAGACACCUACGGGUGGCUGCAGUCGAGAAUCUUCGGCAAUGGGCGCAAGCCUGACCGAGCGACGCCGCGUGCGGGAUGAAGGCCUUCGGGUUGUAAACCGCUGUCAGUGCGGUGGAAAUAUAGUGGGGUACUCCCCAUUAUUUGACCUAUGCGCAGAGGAAGGACGGGCUAAGUUCGUGCCAGCAGCCGCCGUAACAC
rnacentral:rRNA from 1 species